ACUGACACGGGGUGUUUUUAUAGAGGACUCAUGGGUGGGGUGACUCUGAAGUCAUUGCCAAAGGAAGAUGACAAUGAUUAUCCUGAAGGUGAGACGAGAAAGAGCUGCUCCACGGUCAAGGUUGUGAACAACAAAGGAACGGUUAUCCUUUUAGGGUCUUCCUCCUCCAGGCUUUUGAGGACAAAGAUGAAUUAUUUUUAAAAAGAAGCCAGUAUGGAGACACCUGAACAGUGAGAGUGGUUCCACCAGGCUCCUUCUCAGGCAGCACACUCAGCAUCACAGCAUCAGGCCACCAUGGCUUUGAACUACAUCUGGGAUCUUCUUGACCCAGGGAUUGAACCCAAGUCCCCUGCAUCGCAGAUGGAUUCUUGACCGCUGAGCCAUCAGGCAAGCCCACUGGAUCCCACUGGGGAGUUCAUCGAGCCCCAAGAUGCUGUAAUAAGCAGUGAUUCCUAUCCUCAUGGACUAUACAUCCCAAUAAAGGGUCAGAAAAUAAAUAUAUAACAUGCCCUUAUAAAAUCUAUAAUGAACAAUUUAGAAAAAAGAAAAUGGAGGCUUCCCUGGUGGCUCAGUGGUAAAGAAUCCGCCUGCUGAUACAGAAGACACGGUUCGAUCCCUGAUCCAGGAAGAUCCUACAGGCCUAGGAGCAACUAAGCGCAUGCGCCACAACUAUGGCGCCUGCGGUCUAGAGCCCAGGAGCCGCAGCUACCGCAGCCUGCGGACCCUGCAGCCCCCGCAGCCUGCGGACCCUGCAGCCCAUGCUCCACAACAAGAGAAGGCACCGCAAUGAGAAGCCCGAACACCACAAUGAAGAGCAGCGCUGCUGUCUGCAACUAGAAAAAAGCCCAGCACAGUCAAAAAUAAAUAAUUUUAAAAAGAAGAAGAAGAAAGCAGAGAAUGAUUUAAAAAUAGGAAAAGGGUAUGCCAUUUUUGAUUGGGAAGGCUUUUUUGGAGAGAUUUGAGUCAUUACCUGAGUUAACUGAGGGAGACAAUUGUGCAAAGACCUGGAGCUCAAGCACCCUUUAGAGAGGGAUGAGUGGAGUGAAGAAGAGGUGGUGAGGAUGACGUCAGAGAUGGGCAGAGCCAGACCCCACGAGGUAUGACAGGGAUGCCAUGCAGACUUCCUUCUGCAUCAAAACCAGAAAGGGUGACUUUAGCCACUUCAGGUCAAUUUAACAACCAUAUGCUAAGUGUCUAUGACGGUCAAGGCUCUGAAGGCCCUAGGCCCCAUGGGAGAAGGAAAGACAAAUUCACAAUUAUUGUAGAUAAUAAUAAUGAUUAUAAUAAGCAUUAGAUAAACAUCAUAAGAAAAGUACACAAAGGAAUUUGUCUUUGACCUGAACUGGAUAUUUGGGCAAACAGAAAUGAGAGAACAAAUGGAGAAAAAUUCAUGCACUCAAUCAAUCAGUAUUACUGGGGUACAAAGCACUGUGCUAUUAGGCUGUGGGAAUACAUAGCUGAACUCAAAUAAAACAAGAGGACUUCCCCGGUGGUCCAGUGGCUAAGACUCCAUGCACCCAAUGCAGGGGGUUUGGGUUCUGUCCCUGGUCAGGGAACUAGAUCCCACGUGCCUGAACUAAGAGUUCAAAUGCUGCAAUUAAAGAUCCCACCUACUGCAAUAAGACCUGGCACAGCCAAAUAAGCUAAAUAAAUAAAUAUUUAAAAAAUAAAAAAAUAAAAAUACAAGGCCCAAGCCCUCAAGGAUCUUAGAGUUCAGUCGUACAUACAAAUACAGUUCUGACUGCAGGGAGUGUUAUAUAAGAGAGACUCAUAGCAGACUCACCAAGGGUCAACAGAGAGACUUCUGGAGAAGGCAUGGCUGACUAGGAGAUGAAGGAUGAUGAGGUAUUACCUGGAGGAGGGGGGAUGGAUCUCUCCUAAUGGAGAGAAUGGCAAAGGCAAAGAUCCUGUGAUCCAAGGCCUUAGAAGAGAGUAAACAGGAAGCGUCACUUGAGAUGAGGUUGGUGGGGACUGAGAGGGGGCUCUGUGUUUUGGUUUGUUGUUGUUUUUUUUUUAAUGUAGGUGUCCUUUUUUUGGCCAUUUUGUGUGGCCUGUGGGAUCUUAGUUCCUUGACCAGGGAUCAAAUCCGUGGCCCCUGCAGAGGAAGUGGGGAGUCUUAACCACUGGACCACCAGGGAAGUCCCUGAGAGGAGAGGGGUUGUGUUUUAAGAGCCAUGGAAAGCCAAUGAAAGGGUUUAACUUGAGGUAAGGGCAAUGAAAUAAAAUUUGCCUACAGACGAAUUCACUCAGAUCAGAGUACGGAGUACGGACAGUAGAUCGGGGAGAAAGAUACAAGAGUAAAUUCAGGGAAAUCAGAUCAGGGCUUCAGCAGACGUCUAGGCAAGGGAAGUCUGGUGGUGAUGGAAGAAAUGGAGGAGAAGGUGAGUGAUUUGGUUCAAGAAAAGAUUUAGGAGGCUGUGAUAGGACUCUGGCUUAUGACCAACGUGGCUGUAUGACUUGCUUGACAAUGGACUGUGAUCAGAGGUGACAUGUGCCAAUUCCAGGUGGAAGCUUUAAAGAGCCAGUUAAUGUGUGAUUGACCACACUUGCUCUUUCCCUUUGAAUGGCAUUUGUCAUCAUGUCAAAUGCUGGCCACACAUACAUCUCGGGUCGCUUGUGCAGUGGAGAAAUGGAGCAAACACCAGGUGAUCCACUGGAUGUGUAACAUGAGUCGAAAAUCAACUUCUGAUAGUUUUUUUUUUCUUUUUGACCAUGCCACGGGGCAUGCAAGAUGUUAUUCCCCCGGCCAGGAAUCUCACCAGCUUCAGUGCAAGCACAGAGACCUAACCACUGGACUGCCAAAGAAGUCUCCAGCAUCUCAAGCCUUUGCAAUCACGGGAUUGUUUGUUACUGCAGCAUAACAUGACCCAUCUUGCCCCCCUCAAAAAAAGGAUAUAAGAAGAAAGCAUGACUGGGACACAUUUGGGAGGAUUUGGGAUGGAAAGGACAAUUAUCUUGAGGUCUCUCAGGGCUUAUUUUUCAGCCUGUUUUCAAGCACAAUGCUGCACUAUAAGGGGGUCCCCUACUCCUUGUCCUUUCUAAAUUAAAUCUGAGAUGAUUCAGUAUGACACAAAAGAAAGGGAGUCUGUCUUCAGCAAAUGUGGCCUUUAAUGGUAGCAGAGUGCUUUGAAGAUGAGACGUUCCCUUGUGAGUGUGAAGCAUUAUUGUUCUUCAUCAGAUGUGAGGAUGCACUUUUUAAAAAAGGAUUCAAUUUAACUGCCUUGCCAUUGUUUUAUGACACGACCAUCAGGCAUUUUCAAAGGGGUCAAGUUAUGACAAGAAUAUUUAACUUCUAAUAAGAGCAGAGAGUAAUUGAUCCAGAGGAUGUGACUCUUGAGAGUCCCUUGGACUGCAAGGAGAUCCAACCAGUCCAUCCUAAAGGAAAUCAGUCCUGAGUGUUCACUGGAACAGCUGAUGUUGAAGCUGAAACUCCAAUACUUUGGCCA